rnacentral:tRNA from 1 species
GCCCUCAUAGCUCAGAUGGUAGAGCGUGCCCUUGGUAAGGGCAAGGUCAUGGGUUCGAUUCCCAUUGAGGGCU